GCCAUCUUGCGGUCCCGCGGGGGCGCCUCCUGGGCGUCCGGUCCCGCCCGCGCCGCGGUCCGCCUGGGCCCGCGUCUUUGGCCCCAGAGGCCGACGGCGUGCUCCGGCGGGGCGUGGGCGGGUGGGCACCCGAGGGCGUGCGCUCUGGGCUGCGGCGGGGAGUGGGCUCUGGAGGUGGCGCAAGCUGCGUCUGUCGCCCGCUCCCGGCUGUCAGCGGCGCGGGGAGGCUAGGGCGCGGCGCGGGACCCCUUGGGAGUGAGAGCCGUCCCCCGGCCCGGGGAGAGCUCGGUGCAGCCGGCCCUCGGGUUCCGCGGAGGGCGUCGCUUCUCACCUUUUCGCCAGGUUUAGAACUCGGCCGUAAGGUGUAGGGCGCGCCGGGGAGGUGGAGAAUUUUUGGAGGUGCCUGGCAAGGGCUGCCGGGUGCUGUUGGCACGGACCCAGGUACCUGUUUAUGUAAAUGUGAUGGAUGAGUAUUUAUGCGACCAGAACAAUACUACACUGUAUGAAAAUGGUGUAAAAG
rnacentral:sRNA from 1 species